GAUGUAGAGAUCUGUUACAUUCAUUUUAAAUCAUAUUCUGUUAAUGACAUUGUGCUGCAGCCUCAGACUGGGAUCAGUCAUUUUAAUUUCUUUUAGGAUUUCCCAGUGUGAUUGGCUGCAUAGAUGCACACACAUCCCCAUCACAGCUCCCUCACAUCAUGAACAGGAAGUCCAUUCACAGCAUAAAUGUGCAGAUCAUAUGUGAUGCUGCACACAUCAUUUCUAAUGUGGAGGCCACGUGGUCUGGGUCUGUUCAUGACUCCAGGAUUUAUGGAGAGUCUAACCUGAGCAACAGACUGCAGCGUGGUCAGCAGCAUAAAGAUUUUCACAAUAGAAUUCUCUUGUCUCCCUCCUUUAAUAUGCUCUGAUGUAUCCACUAUACAUUACAGGAGAGUUUGAUGGCCUUCUGCUGGGUGACAGGGGUUACCAUGACAACCCAGGCUGAUGACCUCAUACCCUGACCCUGAACCAGGCCCCCAACAGAACUUCAACCGGACUCACUGCAGGACCAGAGCCCGGGUGGAGAUGACCAUAGGCCUGCUGAAAGCCCGUUUCCAGAGCCUACGUCUCCUCAGGGUGACCCCUGAGAGGGCCUGUGAUAUUACUGUGGCAUGUGUUGUUCUUCAUAAUAUUACCACUAUUAGAGGAGAGCAACAGCCUGCCCUACAAACUGAAGACCCAGAUGAUGAGCCCAUCCACCUGCAGCUAUCCAGGACAGCAGAGCAGUCAGAGACACCGUAUGCAAGAAUCACUUUAGAGUUUAAGUCUCCAUCAUCACCACCACAGCAAAUAAAGACAUGAUACACAUUUCA